GUCUAUGGCCAUACCACCCUGAAGGCAACCAAUCUUGUCUGAUCUUGGAAGCUAAGCAGGGUCAGGCCUGGUUAGUACUUAGGUGGGAGACUGCCUGGGAAUAUCAGGUGCUGCAGGCU
rnacentral:rRNA from 1 species